rnacentral:lncRNA from 1 species
GAUUCGAGCACCCCUAAAAUGAACGAAAUUGUAUUAGAUUAAAAAUAUCAACCUGCCAAAACAACAGCAACACAUCAAAGUCGACAACGGCACCAUUUUAAGCUGACUUGAUUCCCUCACAAACAAAAAUAUCAGGAUUAACCGUCCCCUCAGAAACCUCAGGACAGCGAGGACACGGUGGAUCUCUGUGAGGAAAUGCUGCAGAUCUCCAUGUUGGUGAAGGAGCUGCCGGCGUCGCUGCUGCAUUCUGGGUAGGAGGAGCUGGAGGAGAUGAUGUUCUUCAGCCGGUGGAGAGCGAUGAUGAGGAGGGUGAGCAGGAACAGAAGCAGGCUGAGGAAGAUGGAGAUGUAGACGUAAACAUUAGCAGUCCGUCCGUAGGAGGCAGCGGCCACUCCGGUGGACACGGACACUGUAGGGCUGAAGCGCAGGAAACUCUGGCUGUUCACUUCUGUCGCGUUGU